UCAGAUUGCAGGCUGCAACCCGCCUGCAUGAAGUCGGAAUUGCUAGUAAUCGCGGAUCAGCAUGCCGCGGUGAAUACGUUCCCGGGCCUUGUACACACCGCCCGUCACACCAUGGGAGCCGGUAAUACCCGAAGUCAGUAGUCCAACCUCGUGAGGACGCUGCCGAAGGUAGGAUUGGCGACUGGGGUGAAGUCGUAACAAGGUACC
rnacentral:rRNA from 1 species